rnacentral:misc_RNA from 1 species
AAGUCGUAACAAGGUUUUCCGUAGGUUCCGUAACCCCACAGUUUAAUGUGAAGCUCAAUGUAAUACAUUGGGGGAAAAAACCGAACAACUGUUAACAAUGGAUAUCUUGAUUCUC